rnacentral:tRNA from 1 species
UCCCCCUUAGCUCAGCUGGUUAGAGCGGUUGACUGUUAAUCAAUAGGUCCAAGGUUCGAGUCCUUGAGGGGGAG